rnacentral:rRNA from 1 species
AGAUUGAACGCUGGCGGCAGGCCUAACACAUGCAAGUCGAGCGGCAGCACGGGUACUUGUACCUGGUGGCGAGCGGCGGACGGGUGAGUAAUGCCUAGGAAUCUGCCUGAUAGUGGGGGAUAACGUUCGGAAACGGACGCUAAUACCGCAUACGUCCUACGGGAGAAAGUGGGGGAUCUUCGGACCUCACGCUAUCAGAUGAGCCUAGGUCGGAUUAGCUAGUUGGUAGGGUAAAGGCCUACCAAGGCUACGAUCCGUAACUGGUCUGAGAGGAUGAUCAGUCACACUGGAACUGAGACACGGUCCAGACUCCUACGGAGGCAGCAGUGGGGAAUAUUGGACAAUGGGCGAAAGCCUGAUCCAGCCAUGCCGCGUGUGUGAAGAAGGUCUUCGGAUUGUAAAGCCACUUUAAGUGGAGGAAGGGCAGUUAACCUAAGUACCGUUUAGUGGUUUUACGACGUUUAACCGGACUACGAAUUAAGCAACCGGCCUAACUCUGUGUCCAGCCAAGCCCGACGGUAAC